GCAUGAACUUCCUCGUUGAGAAGUAUGACAGUUCUCUGAAGCACACAAUGAUCCAGUUAGGAUCUUCAGAGAAGCUUGCCCAGGCGAGGUUGAAGGCCAUCGAGAGAGUAAGGGCGGAGCAUAAGAAGGCUAAUGAGAAGGCUGCGAAGGAGAAAGAAAUUCUUCGAGUGAAGUUCGAAGAGCUGGAGGGUAAGCUCAAAUCUGCCAUAGCGGCGAGGAAAGAGCUUGCCCGAGAGAACACUCGUUUGGAGCAAGCGGCUGUGAACCUGGAGAAGGAGAAGACUGAGCUACUCGAAGAGAGGAACGCUGCGGUAGAGAAGUUGAUCAAAGAGAGGCAACGCUUGAGGGACUCCUGGGGUUUGGAGGUUACUCGUGAGAGGGAAAGAGUCGAAGCUGCUAUGAUCGAGAAGGCAAAUCGCCGCUUUGGUCGCGUGUGCGACCUUUUUACUCGCUUGGAGGCCUUUGGGAAAGCGAAGAGCCUGUACGGUCAAGCUUCGGGAACGAAGAAGUGCCUCGAGAUGAUACGGGCAAGCGGGACGGAGAUCCCGCAAGAAUUGAUCGACGUCUUUGAUGAGCAGUAGAAGCUCUAUGAGGCGGAGGCUACGAAACUUUGUGUAGGUCCGCUAUCUGAUAGCGACCUCACUCUUUCUCUGCUGGGACUCCCUUCCUGCUUCGCCGAGGACAGGUUUAGAGCGUCGUUUGAUCCUUAUGGGUCGAACGUAAAUUUGAUCGGACCGGAGACGGCUUCUCAGCUUAUUACCUCGCUCGAAAUUACCGAGGAGCCAACAGAAGAGCCAUUGGUUGACGUGACAUCGGUCCCUGCUGAGCACGUCGAGGUUCCGGAGGGAGGUGGUCUUGAAGAGGUCCCUGGAAGGGAGAACCUUGAGGCAGAUGACACUCCUAUUCGAGAGGAGGAGACCAAGAGCGUGGGCAUCGAGGAUCCUGUCCUCGUCUUGGGUUCUUCUUCUGAAGGACGAGAAGACGAAGAGGAGGAAGAUGAUAGAUUCGAAGAGACGUCGCCGCCGCAGCCCGUCGAGGAAGAGACAGCCAACGAAGUUGGAGAUGGAGAUGUUCAGAAACCCUCAUCUCCUGCUGUGGAUUUCCCUGUCCCCGUUCCUACUCGAGUGGAAGACUCAGCUGCUGCCGCUACUGAAGAUCCAGUUGGUCCCCCUGCUCUUGGGACGCCAGAGGAGGACGAUCAAGAUUUUGCGCCUUGACGUUUUGCCUUUGUUGUUUUCCUUGUGAACAACGAGGGGUGGAAGGGCUUAGUCGGAUGUUCCAUUUGCUGCAGAAGUCCUUGAAGUUGCCUGACAUGAACUGUGAUCCGUUAUCAGUAACGAUUUCAUAAGGUAGGCCGUGGCGGCAGAUAAUGUUUUUCCAGACGAAAUCACAGACUUCUUUGUCUGUGACUUGAGCGUAGGCUUCAGCUUCGAUCCAUUUGGUGAAGUAAUCAGUGAGGACGAGAAUGAAACGCUGCUGGCGGGAGCAGGGAAGGGGUCCGAUGAUAUCCAUUGCCCAUCGCAUAAACGGGUACGGCGCGGUCGUCGUUCGUAACAUUUCAGUUGGACAAUGGGUGCUUGGUGCGUGCCGUUGGCAUUUGUCGCAGCUUCUAGCAUAGGACUCGCAAUCAGCGUUCAUCGUCGGCCAGAAGAAGCCUAGGCUUCUCACUUUGAUCGCUAAUGCUCAUCCACCCGAAUGGUUUCCUCCGGCGCCUUCAUGCGUUUCGGCCAUAACCCUGACUGUUUCAUCACCGUGGAUACAUUUGAGGAGUACUUUAUUCGCAGUCCAUCGAUGGAGUUCGUCGUCUAGGACGACGUAAUAGGCACUGCGUGUUUUCAGUCGGCGGGCUGCCCAUUUCUCGGUUGGAAGUUCUCCCUUUGGGAGAUAGUCAAUGAACUCAGUUCUCCAGUCAGGGCGGAAUCUGUCAGUAUCGGGCGUAACGGUUUCGGUGACUGGGGCUAUGAUGGUGGUUUGGUCCAUUGAGAUAUCCACGCUCGGCUUCUCGAUGCGGUGUAUUGGGGUGGUUCGUUUAACCUGAUCCCGAAGCUUGCUUCCAAGGGCUGCGAGUGCGUGGGCGCAGACGUUUUCUCCUCUGGGAACUUUGACGAGUUUGAAGAAUUCAAAAUCUGCGGCUAAGCUUUGUACUAUCUUGAGGUAAGCAUCCAUCCGAUCGUUGCGGGCGUCGUAGUCGCCGCUAAACUGACUGGCGACUAACUGCGAGUCGCAGUAGGCUCUUAGGCGUUUAGCCUUGACAGCUUUUGCUAAGCGGAGUCCAGCGAUCAUAAAUUUGUAUUCUGCUUCGUUGUUCAAAGCUGGAAAGCCGAAGCUAAAAGACUGUCUGAUCAGUUCUCCGGUCGGGGAUUGUAGUUGGACUCGGUACCUGCACCCUUGUUAGUCGAAGAUUCGUCGACAUGCAGUAUCUAGUUCGGAUUUGGGAGUGUGAGGUCUUGCUCCAACUCCGGGGCCAAUUCGACUAAGAAGUCUGCAAGAACCUGAGAUUUUGCCGCGGUUCGGUUCUUGUAGUUGAUAUCAAGCUCACUGAGUUCGAUAGCCCACUUCGUCAGUCUUCCGGACCUGUUUGUAUUUUGGGGUAUCGUUUGGAGGGGCUGGUCGGUUAAUACUUCCACCGAAUGUGACUGAAAGUAUGGGCGAAGCUUUCUCGCCGCUUCGACGACCGCCAGCGCCAUCUUCUCCAGAGUUGGGUAUCGCGUUUAUGGACCGGUCAUGCACCUGCUUGUAUAGAAGAUUGGCUUCUGCUCACCACGGUCCUCUUUUAUCAGAACGCUGCUGACUGCUGCUUGCGACACUGCGACGUAAGGAGAUAGAACGUCGCCGACAUCUGGCUUGGCGAGAACGGGUGGUGUUUUCAAAUAAUGCUUGAGUUGAGUAAAUGCCUCCUCGCAUUUCUCGUCCCAGAUAAACCUCUUGUUACCUCGCAGGAGAUCGUAGAAUGGCAAGCAUUUGUCGGUGGAUCUGGAGAUGAACCGGUUGAGUGCAGCUAUCCUACCCGUAAGCCGUUGCACUUAUCUACUGUUUUUGGGCUUGGGAGGUUCAGGACCACGGAGAUCUGCUUUGGGUUGGCUUCGAUUCCUCGCUGCGUGACUAUGUACCCAAGGAACUCGCCUGAGGAAACCCCGAACGUGCACUUUGCUGGGUUCAGUUUCAUGCCGUAUUUGUUGAGAGUUUCGAAGCAAUCUUGCAAAUGAUCAGCGGUGUGUAGCGACUUGACAAGCAUAUCAUCGAUGUACACUUCCAUGGUGACGCCCAGCUUGUCUGCGAACAUUUUGUUCACAAGCCGUUGGUAGGUUGCUCCUGCGUUCUUCAAGCCGAAUGGCAUGACCUUAUAACAGUAGGUUCCUCUAUCUGUGAUAAAGGCCGUCUUUUCGCGAUCGUUGGGGUGCAUCAUGACUUGGUUGUACCUAGAGAAAGCGUCCAUGAAGGUGAGCAUCUCGUUUCCAGCCGUGGACUCGACUAAACGGUCGAUGUUGGGAAGAGGAUAGCUAUCCUUUGGGCAGGCUUUAUUUAAGUCGGUGAAGUCGACGCAGACGCGCCAUUUCCCGUUCUUCUUCUUAACAACUACUAGAUUUGCUAACCACUCCGGGUAGCGCACCUCAGCAAUUGAGCCAGCGCCGAGUAACCAGUCGACCUCCUCGUUUACAGCCUUUGACCUGUCAGGACCGAGCUUGCGUCGCUUCUGCCGGAUAGGCUUGAAUGUCGGGUCGACGUUUAGUUCGUGAGUUGUUAAUGUUGGGUCGACGUUUAGUUCGUGAGUUGUUAUAGUCGGAUCGAUUCCUUUCAUGUCUGACAUGGACCACGCACAUUCGUCUUGAGAAAGUUGAGAACUGACUGCUGCAUAUCUUCAGACAGAUACGCACCAAUCCUUGCGGUCUGGCUUGGAUCGGUAUCGUCAAUGGGUAACUCGAGAACUUCGCCUUCCUGGGAGCAGAAUUUAUAGGUUGGAGGAGAAACGGAGUUAACCGAUAGAGACGAUCGUUGGAGUUUGACUGUGGCGACUAGGAGUUCCCUAGCGGCUUUUUGAUCCCCUAGCAAUGUUUUGAUUUUUCCGUCUAUACCGGGGAACUUGACACACUGGUGAUAAGUAGAUGGAAUAGCGUGCAUUGAGUGUAUCCAGGGGGUUCCAAGUAUAGUGUGGUAAGGCGCCUUCGUGCUUACAACGGCAAAAUUGACAGUUCGAGUGACUCCACAUGCGCGUACCGGAUGGCGGAUUUUUCCCAGUAUUGUUUCGGAGGAUCCGUUGAAGCCGGUUAAUGUUCUGGAGGACGGUUUUAUGUCGUCGAGAUCGACUCCCAUCUUCUGCAGAGUUCCUCGGAAGAUGAGGUCGACGGAGCUUCCUGUAUCAACGAGGACCUUGGUGACGUCGUACUCCCCAAUUCCAAGGACGACAAGAAGAGGGUCGUUGUGGGGUACGUGAAUCCCCUCAGCGUCAUCCGGCAAAAAAUUUAUCGGAGGGUGACUUGGCGGCCUAGUCGGCCACCUCUGCGAAGUCGGCCUGUCGACGGUAAUCCUUGACGGAGCGAACAGAGUUGCCGCAAGGAGGAGAACCGCCCAUGAUGACAUUUAGUUGAUGUCGUGUUUCUACUUGCUUGGAGUCUAAGAAGGCACGUAAAUCGGUUGGUACGCUGCUGUCAUUUUUUGACGACGGAGUGUCGUUGCUUGAUGUCUUAGUUUGCUCCAAACGCCUUCGGAGGUCAGUGGAUUUCGAACGAUUCAGACGGAUGCGAAGAUCGCAUGCUCCUGCGUUGAGUUUAUCUCAAAGGUCACCGUUUGAGCGCUCUUUUGGAUUGGGGUCACCUGUUGAGAUACGCCGGGACUUCCGUGCAUCCAACGUUGUUUGGAGAUCAUUGUGCGUGAAGUUGUUGCUAUCUUCGGAUUCGAACUUUCGUUUCAGAACAUCUCUCAAAUCUUCGAGUACAGGUGUGUCAUCGUUCUCGUCGUCCGACGACAAGGUUUGCUGAGAGAGUAUAACCUCAAUGCGCCUGCGGUUAGCUGGUUGCUCUUCGUCGGCUGAGGAGUCUCCCUCGCUGUUACUCUUCGGAGCAUCCUCCUCGUCGUCUCGUUGUUGAGUUUCGCUAUGUCGACCUUUGCCUGUAGCUUUGCGCUGGGCUCUCUUUCUUUAUUCUUGCUCCAGCUCUUGCCGUUCUUCGGCUUAGCCUUUAGGGGUUCGAACUUGAAGUCGCCACUUGCUAGGGAUGAGAGGUAGUGCGCAUAGAGUGACUUGCACUCUAUCGUAUCGUGCCCUUUGACGUCGUGAUAUUUGCAGUGUUUGGUGAGAUCGACGGUUCUGGAAGGUCCUGCCGCUGAACCUGCUGCUGUUGUAGUCUGGGUCGAGCAAACGGCGUUGACUGGUUUGUCGGACGAAUCGAGCUCCCUUACCCACUUGUUCCAACCUUCUCCGUGGACUACGAAAGUUGAAACAGGCACGUUGUUCUCAUUGACGACAUACAUGUAUCCGUCUUUGCGGCCGUUUUUUUCGAUUGGGGCAUGCUGGCGCGGUUCUUGUCACGUGUUGGCGUUUUUAGCCGCUGGAGCUUUGGGUGCGUUCAUCUUGCUGAGAAUGGCAUUAGUGUCUUCUUCCAUUCGGAUAUAGUUAUCAGAGCGCGCGAUAGCAUCCUGGAGUGACGUAGUUGGGUUUUGGUAUAAAUCCUCUCGGAAUUUAGAACGAACCCACAAUGUGUUCCGCAGGGCGUCGAUGGCAAUACCGUCUGGGAUUUCAAUCCUCGAGACUACGGCUUUGAACUUCUCCAUGUAAUCGCGGAGGCUCUGUUCUUUGGUUUGGUUAAGGUUCCACAAGCUAGAGGCGGUAGCGCUGCGCUUGGUGAACAUAAUGUAGGUCUUGAGGAAAGCUGCUGACAAGUCACGGAAGUUUCCGAUGGAGUUUUCCUCUAACUGGGAGAACCAGGUUAGGGCUUGCUCGUGGAGAGUUUCGACGAACAGUUGGCAGUAGCCUGCGUCCCUUUCUUCUUCGGAGAGUCGAGCCCGCGCCAUCCCGAUGUUUAAAGCUGUCAUGUGUUCCACCGGGUCUCCACCGGGUUUGUACUCGGGUAGGCGCAGCUUGUCUAUCUUUCCGAAUUGCACACUAGUCAACGCGCGAGUGAAAGGGGUGCGCGAUGUUGCGGCGAGCACGCUCUCGAUUUGCGGGGCCGCGCUGGUUACCUGAUGGAUCUUCUCGCUCAUUUGCUGGAAGCUAAGCUUGAGCUCGGCGAUCUCGCGUAUGGUUGCGAGAUCGGAGCCUACUGGGGGAGCGUCGGCGAGAAGGGUUUCAUUAGGCUCCGAGUCGUCUGAGACGUGGUCGCCUCCGGUCGCCGUUGGGUUGGUGUUAAAGAGGCGACGGCGUAUCUGCUGGGGACGGCUCGUUUGGCCAUCGGUAGCUGUGAGUGCCGCGACCAAAGCAGCUAAUUGGUCGUUGGUCGUCUUUUGGACUUCGUCUUGAUGAGCGAGUCGAGCCAUGAUAGAGCUCAUGAAAUCUGCGGUGAUGGGUGGCGCGGAUUCGGGCGUGGGGGAACAAUUCUUCACUUCCUCGACUUGCCGUCAGAUCUGCCUUCACCUCCGUUGGUUACAGAGAAGCAGCAGUUCCAGGAGCGUUUCGACUUUCCCAACUCAUCCUCUCGGGAGUAAUCGAGUUUUGACGAGUUUUGUAUGAUUUGGUGAAGGCUGGAGCUUGUUUACAGAAGAUCCAGAAUUCAUCAAGAACAUCUCCUGUUCGUCUUUAAGUUUCAGAUUACACAGAAUUCACCAAGAACAGGUUGCUAGUUUCUAAGUCUUCCGGCAUUGAUCAUGAUGGAAGUAUCGAAGAAGAACACAGUUGUAUCCACUAACUGAUUAUGCUGGUGGUUUGAAAGCUGGAAGUAGGAUUAAAUUCAAGGAAAGCUAGUUUUAGGAAAAUCAGUUGUAACAGUUGUACCAAACGCAGUGAACAAGUCCUCAUCGAAGGAAGACACUUUGGAAAAGAAGAAGGCUUUCUUCUGGCACCUCUUCUAGCAAGAAGGGAGACGAGGAGGAUGUAAACGUCGAUUUGACAGAACAGAAGAAAGCCAAUGACGUUUAUUCCAUUUGAACCCAUGACCUCAAAACGUUCUUUUUUUUUUAAAAUAAAAGUUUAGAAAGUACAUGUCUCUUUAAAUAUAUAUUGAAUCUUCGUUUAUAGAUUAAGCUCAAGGAGAACUAGGGUUCUUAAAUAUCAAAACGAAAACAGCCAUUACAAAGCCAAGAAACAGAAAAUAAAGUAAUGCAAAAUUGAGUAUUUCUUAAACUAAGGUUAUUUUUUUGUCAUCUCUAAACCCUAAACCCCAAAACUAAACAUAUUUUUAAACUCUACACAUAAACAUAAAAACUUCAAUCUUUUCAUAAUAAUAUCAAGCUUAAACUAAAUUUUUUUCUAAGAAAAUCUAAUCUUAAAUUUAAAUUCUAAACCUCAAACACAAAAUCCUAAAUCUACACCCUAUAUCUAAUACCCUAAACCCCAAACUUAAACCCUACUUACAAAAUCUUAAAUCUAAUCUUUUCAAACCUAUGAUAUAUACUUAAAAUUUAACUUCAAGUAUAUUCUAAAACUAAAGCCAUAUAUUUUAAUUCUAAAUCUUAACCCUAAACCUUAAACAACACACCUCAUAUUAACAUAUAUCAUAAAACAAUCAGUCUUAGCUUUAAAUAAAUUAUAAUUCCUUUAAGACAUCUAUGCUAUUCCGAACUAUAUACAACUUUUAUAUCUUAAUUCCUAUAAGAUACAUAUAUUACUCCAAACUAUAUACUCUAAAUUUUAACAUUAUUUAUCUUAACCCAAAAUACUAUUUUAAACUACACAUAAAACUUAAUCUUAAUACCCUAAAACGAAAACUCAAACCCUGCAUACACGACCAUAAAUUCAUCUUCUUUAUUUAAUUGGUUACAUUUUUAAAAUAUUUAAACACUGAAUUUUAAAUAUAAUGUAAAAACUAAAUUAUUUCAUUGGUUUCUCUUAAAAAUAUUUCCACCAACACUCACAAAUUCUCCUUCUCCUUUCCGCCGCACAUCUUGACCAAAACUAAGACACUAAAUAAAAAUAUUUAAGCUAAAACUAAAACAUUUAUCUGUGUCCUUAUUGGUCAAAAAGAAAAGACAUGGAUCACUAUCAGUAACCGUUGAUGCAAUUGCAUCCAAUGGUUACAGUUUUUUUCAAUAUCUUUUUGUUUUUCUGUUUUAAUUCUCUUUCUCAUCUCUUUCGUUUUCUCUUCUCUCUUCCUUCUACGGCAGAUCUCAAUCUUCUCUUCUUGUAUCGUACUCUUUGUUUUUCUCUUUUCCUUAUUUUUUUUCCCGAAAAUCUCAUCUCUUCUCUUUCUCUUCGAUCUGUUCAAUCUUCUCUUGGAUCUAUAAACCGCCUCCGAUCAAAUACAUACCAAGAUGUAUCGCGGCUUAAGUUUGCAUUACCAGGUUAAAGUGUCAGAGGUGGAUCACGGUAUGGCUCCACCAAGUCACCUCCUAGAUUCUGAGAUACCCCAAAAGCCUAAAUCAGAAACAGGCUUGAGAGGCGAUGGAGAAACUCCGGUAUCGAGCAGACGAGGCGACAGAGAAACUAUGAUGUCUGUAGCAGACGGCACGAUAGAAGUCAACUUCGGUGACUAGGUGAUGCGACGACAACACUCUGAAGGCGGAUGCUCUGGAGGCUGGAGGCUAGAGACGGAGGAUUAGGGUUGCAGGCGGAUGCUUAGUUUAGGUUUAGGUUAAUUAUGUUUUGGCUAAUUAUGUUUUGUUUUAAUCUGUUUUUUUGUUUAAUGUGUUCUUUAAUUAUUUGUAUACUGAUUUUAAUUAAUAGAUAAAAUUAAUUUUAAUUACGAA